rnacentral:rRNA from 1 species
GGAUAAUACCUGUGGCUCAUGACGGUACCUGAAGAAUAAGCACCGGCUAACUACGUGCCAGCAGCCGCGGUAAUACGUAGGGUGCAAGCGUUAAUCGGAAUUACUGGGCGUAAAGCGUGCGCAGGCGGUUUUGUAAGACUGUCGUGAAAUCCCCGGGCUCAACCUGGGAAUGGCGAUGGUGACUGCAAGGCUAGAGUUUGGCAGAGGGGGGUAGAAUUCCACGUGUAGCAGUGAAAUGCGUAGAUAUGUGGAGGAACACCGAUGGCGAAGGCAGCCCCCUGGGUCAAAACUGACGCUCAUGCACGAAAGCGUGGGGAGCAAACAGGAUUAGAUACCCUGGUAGUCCACGCCCUAAACGAUGUCUACUAGUUGUCGGGUCUUAAUUGACUUGGUAACGCAGCUAACGCGUGAAGUAGACCGCCUGGGGAGUACGGUCGCAAGAUUAAAACUCAAAGGAAUUGACGGGGACCCGCACAAGCGGUGGAUGAUGUGGAUUAAUUCGAUGCAACGCGAAAAACCUUACCUACCCUUGACAUGGAUGGAAUCCU